rnacentral:lncRNA from 1 species
GUAGAAGUUAGCACCGAGUGAACCCAAGAAUGGGAACUCACUUGUUAUAUGAGGGUAUGAUUUUUAGCAGUCAUCCUUGAGUUCCAGAACUAUGUAUCCAGCAUAGGUUGAGAUAUUGCAGCCUGCAAUAUGAGGGUAGAUGAGGUGGCUUAACCUGUUAUAUGAGGGUUCCCACCAUUCUCACUAGAGUUACCUGUUAUAUGCGGGUUG